AUUGAACGCUGGCGGCAGGCCUAACACAUGCAAGUCGAGCGAGCGGCGGACGGUUGAGUAAUGUCUUGGAAACUGCCUGAUGGAGGGGGAUAACUACUGGAAACGGUAGCUAAUACCCCAUACCAUCAGAUGUGCCCAGAUGGGAUUAGCUAGUAGGUGGGGUAACGGCUCACCUAGGCGACGAUCCCUAGCUGGUCUGAGAGGAUGACCAGCCACACUGGAACUGAGACACGGUCCAGACUCCUACGGGAGGCAGCAGGGGGGAAUAUUGCACAAUGGGCGCAAGCCUGAUGCAGCCAUGCCGCGUGUGUGAAGAAGGCCUUCGGGUUGUAAAGCACUUUCAGCGGGGAGGCGUUAGCCGAAGAAGAAGAACCGGCUAACUCCGUGCCAGCAGCCGCGGUAAUAG
rnacentral:rRNA from 1 species